AUACGUAGGGGGCGAGCGUUGUCCGGAAUGAUUGGGCGUAAAGGGCGCGUAGGCGGCCCGGUAAGUCUGGAGUGAAAGUCCUGUUUUUAAGAUGGGAAUUGCUUUGGAUACUGUCGGGCUUGAGUGCAGGAGAGGUAAGUGGAAUUCCCAGUGUAGCGGUGAAAUGCGUAGAGAUUGGGAGGAACACCAGUGGCGAAGGCGACUUACUGGACUGUAACUGACGCUGAGGCGCGAAAGUGUGGGGAGCAAACAGGAUUAGAUACCCUGGUAGUCCACACUGUAAACGAUGAAUGCUAGAUGUAGGGGGUAUCGACCCCUUCUGUGCCGCAGUCAACACAAUAAGCAUUCCGCCUGGGGAGUACGGCCGCAAGGUUGAAACUCAAAGGAAUUGACGGGG
rnacentral:rRNA from 1 species